GAAACAGCAGAGCAAAGGGACAAAAGACACGAGGUGGAGGCCAAAAACAACACUCAGUGGGCUGGUUAAUUUCUGCAUGAAGUCCCUGAGGAGAAGUAUGGGGUAAAAUGGUGAUGCCAACCCUGGUCUGCAUUGUUGCAGGGGCCCAGUCUGGCUCUAAUCAGGGAGACGCAGGGCCGACUGCACUCAAUUAUUCACUCAUUAGUCAGCAAAUGGGAGAGGCCACUGAAAGCUGUGUUCCCUGCAUGCUGUGCUGUUCACAGAGCACAUCUCUCUCUUUGUCUUUUCAUCGCUCUGUCACUUUUUAGACAUGCACUGCAUCUGUCAUUACAUUUUCUGGCUUUUUUUUUUUUUUACAAACCAUUGUUUUCUGAGUUCAACAUUGCAAUCUCUCACAAAUCUCUGUGAUUUCUAA